rnacentral:rRNA from 1 species
AUGGCGGAAUCGAACUCGUACGAGGAGCAGCGCCGGCGGCAGAUUGAGGAGAACCGCCGGAAGCUGGAGGAGCUCCGCCUGCACCACCUCUCCGCCGCCGUCCGCGAGGCCGCCGCCAGGCCCAAGCCCAACCCCAACCCCAGGCCGAAGCCGCAGGCCCCGCCCCCCGGCGAGCUCCGGCGGUCCGGCCGCGUCGCCAGCCUCCCGGAGCAGCCCAACUACCUCGACGGCGCGCAGCAGCGCGACUACCAGGGAGUGUACGCCGAUGUUAUUUGGAAAGGGCCGACCGACGAGGAGAGGGCCGCCGCCGCCGCCAAGGCCGAGGAGCUCCAGCGCCAGAUUCACCGCAUCCGCUGGCCCGCCUUCGUCAAGCCCAUCACCCACGCCUGCGCCAGCAGGGCAAAAUUUAUGACAAUCCCGAAGCACUUCACCGAGUACCUCCCGGCGCACGAUGAGCCAGUCGUCGUGGUGGAUGAGGCGGAUGACGAGUCCCACAUGAUGUACAAUGCCAGCAGACAGGGCAGGCACUGCUACCUCAGCAAGGGGUGGAGAGAGUUUGAGGUCUACAUUUUUAGAGCAAGCCCAGACUAUGAGAGCGACGAAACUUCCGAUGACUCUGAGGAUGAACAGAAGUGA